GUAUCAAAAUCUGAUUUUAAUCAAAUAAAAUCGAAAUUUAAUAUAUUGGUAUCGUAAUUUGGACUGGAUAUAAGGAUUAUUUAUAUUGAAUUUAAAUCUGGAAUAUUUUUCAUCUGAAUUGAUUUCAAUAUAUAUGCUCCUGACAUUUAAAUCUAUUUGUUAAAACAUGUAUGUGUAAUUAUGGCGUCCGGUGAUAAUAAUGCAAAGGCGAUUAUAUUUUAUGACAGUGAAGGCGCAAACGAAGCGUCUAAAACAGAGGCAGACAAAUUGAGGUUCUUCAUUGAAAAGAAUGGUGGAUACACAUGUCAAACUGACCAUGCAAUAAGAAUACCUGGAACCGAAGUUAUGAAUAACAUUCACAAUUCAACUAAUCGUUAUGACAGAAUAAUAAUUCUUAUAACAGAUCAAUCUUCUUCAAAAGGAUGGUUCACAUUUGCAGUUUUGUCUGCCUUAGAAAACAUAAUUGUGGACAAUCACAUGAGACUUUUGGUCGCAUACAAAGGAAAUCGACGUGAAGAUGUUGGGUUUCUGAAAACCGGAUUGCUGUCGUUGACGCCCAAGACGUUUGUCGACCUCACUGAAUGGCAGGGAUAUGAAAGGCUUCUCAAACAACUGAAACCUCCAGUGUGUUUGGACGAGGAAUUACCAGCGGGAAACUUGCAUCUUGGCUUGGUCCAUUCCCACUUAUCCGGUUACAUGUGCUAUGUUGCUGAAGAACAAGAAUUGGUUGGAGAAAUGCGAUGGUUACAGAAAAGAACAAAAAACUACUGAUUGGAAAUUUUCUGUUGGCUGUACCAAAAAUCUGCGCUGUCCCACAGCAGCUUCCGUCAAAUUCGGCAUCAGGCAUUGUUAUUUCGAAUGUGGAUACAUUUGAGUUUAAGAGAAUACAUGCGGGUAAAAACACAAAGAUUAUGUUGUUACCAUCAACCAGAUAAAGCACGCGAACAACGAGUUGUACGUUUGUGCCCAGGUACCAACUACGAUAACUGCAAUAUCAAAUCUUGCAAAGCAGCACCUUGGGAAAAUAAAUGUCGCUCUCGAGCACCAGCGUUUCUGUCAAUCAUACCAGCAGAUAAUCGAUGCGAAAGGAUGAGGUGACUUCUUGGAAAUCGUUCCAUGUGAAGAUGAAAACGAUAUUCCUGUCGCGUUGUUUAAGGCAGCGACGGCAAACAAUACCAAGAAGACUGGGGCAGAAACUUCUCUAAUAAGCUGGAGUUUUGUCCGAUUUUAAAAGGAUGAGUAUUUACAUAUCAUGUUUUGAUAUUGAUGGAGAUUCUUGUGAAGAGAUCGAAAAAGAGCUACAAAAACAUCAUAUGAACAUCAUACGACAUGAAAACACACCAGGAAGAUUCCUGCUCUCAGAUGGUGACAAUCGAGAAGGAUGGAUAAUAGUUAUUGUAUCGAAAGAAUCGCUGAAAAGCGAACUGCUUUCUUUCAAUCUCAUAAAAUGCCUGACUGCCGAUGUUGAUGACGGCAGAUUGAGGAUCCUGCUUGUAUUGCGCAGCGGUGUGAAUAUCUCAGAAGUACCAAGAUGUAUUCGUUGGGUUACAGUAUUCAGCGAAGAUGAGAAAUCCUACAAAAACUGGAUUGUAAGAACAAUUUUUUAGGUAAUUGGCAUCAGUGUAUGAGCCAUCAUAAUUAAAGCAUCAAACAGCCUUUCAACUUUACUUGACUUUUGAUUGAAUGUAAAAUCAUGCUUUUUUAAAUUUCGUGCCGAUAUUAUAAAGCGCAUAUAUCGUUUCUGCAAAUCUUGGAUCCGACAAAACAUGUAUUGUAUAUAUGUAUUGUA